AACGAACGCUGGCGGCAGGCUUAACACAUGCAAGUCGAACGCCCCGCAAGGGGAGUGGCAGACGGGUGAGUAACGCGUGGGAACAUACCCUUUCCUGCGGAAUAGCUUCGGGAAACUGGAAUUAAUACCGCAUACGCCCUACGGGGGAAAGGUUUAUCGGGGAAGGAUUGGGCCGCGUUGGAUUAGCUGGUUGGUGGGGUAAAGGCCUACCAAGGCGACGAUCCAUAGCUGGUCUGAGAGGAUGAUCAGCCACAUUGGGACUGAGACACGGCCCAAAAUCCUACGGGAGGCAGGAGUGGGGAAUAUUGGACAAGGGGGGCAAGCCUGAUCCAGCCAUGCCGGGUGAGUGAUGAAGGCCUUAGGGUAGUAAAGCUCUUUCACCGAUGAAGAUAAUGACGGUAGUCGGAGAAGAAGCCCCGGCUAACUUCGUG
rnacentral:rRNA from 1 species